rnacentral:rRNA from 1 species
AUUGAACGCUGGCGGCGUGCUUAACACAUGCAAGUCGAUCGGUAACAGGUGUAGCAAUACAUGCUGACGAGAGGCGGACGGGUGAGUAAUGCUUGGGAAUCUGCCUAUUAGUGGGGGACAACCCGGGGAAACUCGGGCUAAUACCGCAUACGCUCUACGGAGGAAAGCCGGGGACCGCAAGGCCUGGCGCUAAUAGAUGAGCCCAAGUCGGAUUAGCUAGUUGGUAGGGUAACGGCCUACCAAGGCGACAAUCCGUAGCUGGUCUGAGAGGACGACCAGCCACACCGGAACUGAGACACGGUCCGGACUCCUACGGGAGGCAGCAGUGGGGAAUAUUGGACAAGUGGGGGCAACCCUGAUCCAGCGACGCCGCGUGGGUGAAGAAGGCCUGCGGGUUGUAAAG